CAGCAGCCACGGGAAUACAUAGGGUGCAAGCGUUAAUCGGAAUUACUGGGCGUAAAGCGUGCGCAGGCGGUUUUGUAAGUCUGUCGUGGAAUCCCCGGGCUCAACCUGGGAAUGGCGAUGGAGACUGCAAGGCUAGAAUCUGGCAGAGGGGGGUAGAAUUCCACGUGUAGCAGUGAAAUGCGUAGAUAUGUGGAGGAACACCGAUGGCGAAGGCAGCCCCCUGGGCUAAGAUUGACGCUCAUGCACGAAAGCGUGGGGAGCAAACAGGAUUAGAUACCCCCGUAGUCCCUGUCUCUUAUAC
rnacentral:rRNA from 1 species